rnacentral:rRNA from 1 species
AGGGCACCACCAGGAGUGGAGCCUGCGGCUUAAUUUGACUCAACACGGGAAAGCUUACCUGGUCCGGACACUGGAAGGAUUGACAGAUUGAUAGCUUUUUCUUGAUUUGGUGGAUGGUGGUGCAUGGCCGUUCUUAGUUGGUGGAGUGAUUUGUCUGGUUAAUUCCGACAACGAACGAGACUCUACCCUACUAAAUAAUAUUUUGGAUUUAUACUCCUUACAUGUUCCUUCUUGGGAGGACAAGGUGGUUUGAGCACGACACAAAAUAAUAAUAAGUCGGUUUUGAUGUUCUUUGAUGUGGGGGGCCCCCCCCCCGCUACGAAGAAUAAACUGGGGUGUAUUUUUCCUUGUACGAAAAAACUGGUCAACCCCUUUAAUCCUCUUCAUGAAUGGGAGAUUGAAAUGAUGUUGCUUGAACUGAGAAAUCCAAGUCAAUAUAAAUCUUGUCAUCGUGUAGAGUACGUUACUGCCCUGUGUACACACCGCACGUCGCUACGCUACAUCGAAUGGAAUGGUAAA